GGCACGAGGGUGUGUGUAUAUAUAUAAAGAAGGAGAUGUUAAUGUAGCACAAUGCUUGUCGUUAUGUGAGAAAAUCAGCGUGAAGGAGUGAAAACGCAGGGCUCUGAUGUGGCUUUGUUCUUCACAGAGACACCACUGAAGACUUUGGACCUGCUGAACAAGGCUGCACUUCUCCGGCUAGGAAGAAAAAGAAGGGAGCGAGAGGAGGAGCCGCAGCAGUUCUGAGGAUGAUCGGCCCUAAUCUCUCCUCCAGGCGCCAUCACACGGGAACACUCCGAUCUGCACGGCCGCAGUCUCAUUCCUCAAGUGCAGCCACGUUUGCUGGGGAUCUGCUGUUCCUGCGCUGGCAGCAUCCGAAGGCCCCACGAGUUCAGCAGUGUCACAUGAUCCGGCACAAGCAGAUCUGAUGUUUACACUGGCUCAUCUCACUGCAGAAGAGACACACACCUGCAAACUGGAUUACUUAUGAUCAUGACAUUUUAUUGUUGAGGUAAUAUAAUUCAGUUCUACUGGAUGGAGAAAGUAAUUUUAAUAUAGUGAACUGACUGAUUUAUUGGUAAUGCAUUUCUACAGAUUAAGAAUUCCCUUUAGAGGUAAAUAUCAGCUUUAAUCUCAAUCCCUGAUUCUAUUUAAUGCACUUUUUAAAAUGAAAUAUCACUAAUUUUCCAAUUUUAAAAUGAGGUAAUCCACUUUUUCUGUUUCAGAUUAAUGCAUUUAAAGUGUUUAAUGCAUGUACUUUGACUUAUUGUGAGUGAAUGUGUAAUGUUCUCACUCAAAUGCUGCAUGCAUGCUUAAAAAACAUAAAGAUAUAAAGUGUUUGUCUUUGAUAUUUGCUGUCACAUGGAUCCUUUUAAACCACAAUGGACUGUGUUCAUUCUAUUUGACUUUUGACCUUUUAAAAUUAAAGCUUAAUUAAUUGUUA